rnacentral:rRNA from 1 species
AGCUGCAUCAGCUAUAACGCGUGGUGUGAUGAAGGUCCUCGGAUUGUAAAGCCCAUUUUAGUGGAGCAAGAUAAUGACGGUAUCCACAGAAAAAGCACCGGCAAACUUCGUGCCAGCAAGCCGCGAGUAAUAGGAAGGGUGCUAGCGUUGUUCGGAAUCAUUGGGCGUAAAGCGUACGUAGGCGGUUUAGUAAGUCGAUUGUGAAAGCCCCGACUCAACUUGGGAACUGCAAUCGAAACUGCUUUGCUCAGCAGUUUGGUGGGGGAUAGUGGAAUCCUAGUGUAGGGGUGAAAUCCGUAGAUAUUAGGAGGAACAUCAGUGGCGAAGGCGACUAUCUACGCCAAUACUGACGCUAAGGUACGAAAGCGUGGGGAGCAAACAGGAUUAGAUACCCUGGAUAGUCCACGCAGUAAACGAUGAGUGCUAGUUGUCGGGGUUAACCCCUCGGUGGCGAAGCUAACCGCGUUAAGCACUCCGCCUGAGGAGUACGAUCGCAAGAUUAGAACUCAAAGGACUUGACGGGGACCCGGACAAGCAGUGGCAUCAAGUGGUUUAAUUCGAUGCCUACACGAAAAACCUUAACAAGCCUUGAACUCUAGAUGAUCCGGUAUAGAGA